rnacentral:sRNA from 1 species
UGGCAAAUAGAUAUGGGCUCCCAGCGCCCCA